UACGUAGGGGGCAAGCGUUGUCCGGAAUCAUUGGGCGUAAAGCGCGUGUAGGCGGCUCGGUAAGUCCGCUCUGAAAGUCCAGGGCUCAACCCUGGGAUGCGGGUGGAUACUGCCGGGCUCGAGUCCGGAAGAGGCGAGUGGAAUUCCCGGUGUAGCGGUGAAAUGCGCAGAUAUCGGGAGGAACGACCGGUGGCGAAGGCGGUUCUCUGGGCCUUAC
rnacentral:rRNA from 1 species